CCUACGGGAGGCAGCAGUGAGGAAUAUUGGUCAAUGGACGAGAGUCUGAACCAGCCAAGUAGCGUGAAGGAUGACUGCCCUAUGGGUUGUAAACUUCUUUUAUAUGGGAAUAAAACGUUCCACGUGUGGGAUUUUGUAUGUACCAUAUGAAUAAGGAUCGGCUAACUCCGUGCCAGCAGCCGCGGUAAUACGGAGGAUCCGAGCGUUAUCCGGAUUUAUUGGGUUUAAAGGGUGCGUAGGCGGAGUGUUAAGUCAGUUGUGAAAGUUUGCGGCUCAACCGUAAAAUUGCAGUUGAAACUGGCAGUCUUGAGGACAGUAGAGGUGGGCGGAAUGCGUGGUGUAGCGGUGAAAUGCUUAGAUAUCACGAAGAACUCCGAUUGCGAAGGCAGUUCACUGGACUGCAACUGACACUGAGGCUCGAAAGUGUGGGUAUCAAACAGGAUUAGAUACCCUAGUAGUC
rnacentral:rRNA from 1 species